UGUUUACAGAGCCUGGAGAAAGUUCUUGUGGAAUUCAGUCAUGAGGAGUUGUUUGAUUUCUACAAAAAGCUAGAGACCAUACAAGCACAGCUGGAUUCCCUUACUUGAUGUUUUUGAAGACUGUUUUUUCCAUCAUACUCCUAUCACCUCAUUAUUUUGCAUUGAAGAUAGAUUUCCAGGUUGUGUUUUCUAAAGGAUUCGGUGGCUUUCUUUCUGUAAAUUAUAUGACUUAUCAUUUCUUAGCCAAGGGAGAUCAUUGUUAAGAGUACUGAGGUUCUAAUAUACUUUCUCUAAUUCUGUGAGCCAACAGGAAUUGUUAAGAACACUUUCGCUUUAAAGGAAACAAAAGUGAAUACCAUAUUGUUUUCACUGUCCUAUUGUUGCUUUAGUGCUUGGCCUGCUAUUUUUUACAUGCUUAAUGAUAACUUUAUGUAACAAGGAGUGUCCAUGGAUACAAGAUAUAAUGUGUACCCUACUAGAAUACAGAGCUUCAGUAAUUACAUUAAUAAAAUUGAGAAAAUAGCUACAUGCAAUCAAAUAUAUUAUGGCAUUUUUCUUUGAACAUGAUGAAUAUAUUUUGCUUGGGAAAUAAUAUAGGAAAUAAAUUUAAAAUAGAGCCAGUACUAUACUAUCAAUUAAUUCCAGUGUGAGCUUCUCUGUUAACCUUAAUUUUUUUCUCUGAGUUUAAUGAUUUAAUAAUAGUCCUGGUUCUUAUGUGUUUUUCUUUGUACUGCAAAUUAAUAAUGAUUCACUUCAUAGUAGAUUCAGCUCAUGAAUAAAAAUAAUUAUGAUGAGUGUUAAAUGGGCAUCUUUAUUCAAGUUAGAUACCUUUUACAUUCUCUUUCUAUAAAUAUGUUAAUUGAUUCACUCAAUAAAACUUUGUGUCUUUACAAUUAAUUCAACUGAAGUGUAUAGUAUUUUUAUUUUAUGUAUUUUAUAGUAUAUUCUAUGCUAUGAAUGUAUGUACAUGAGUGUAAUUGCCUGUAAAAAAUUAAUUGAAUUUUUUAUGAAUGAAAUAUCUAUUUUACAUUGCUUCCAGAAGGAGAGAUAGGAAGAGAGAUUCAAACAUGACUUAAUUCACCUGACAAUAUUUGAACUAUAGGUAACCAAGCAAAACUAUUGAAAUUGAAACACUUUUCUCAUUUGAGGGAUCUGGGUAAUACAAGUGUUAAAUAAAUGUUAAAUAUACAGAAUUUAUGCCCAUGUUUGUUUAUAUGCAUACUUAUAGGGUAUCGCUUAGAAUAAAUGAGAGCUUGGAUUAUUUCAGAAACCAACUAUUAUAGUUGUCCAUAGUUGAUUGAUUUUAAGUUUUUAAACUCAAAUUUCCAUUGGUAGGAUAUCUGGAAAGCAUUUUAUAAUGUAAUCGGAUUUGUUUCUACAUGUGGCUUGGAGGCUUUCUCUUUUUUAUGCUCUGUUUUUCUGAUUUCCAGAGGUAACUACCUGAGGUCCCAGAGUUACUAUAAACAUUUUGGUAAACAUUA